rnacentral:rRNA from 1 species
CGCCCUUAGAGUUUGAUGCCUGGCUCAGAACGUACGCUGGCGGCACGCCUAACACAUGCAAGUCGAACGAAGUAGCAAUACUUAGUGGCAGACGGGUGAGUAACAUGUAGGUAUCUGCCCUUUGGCCUGGAAUAACACGAGGAAACUUGUGCUAAUACCGGAUAAGUCUUUACGGAGAAAGCUUUAUGCACCAUUGGAUGAGCCUGCACUUGAUUAGUUUGUUGGUGGGGUAAUGGCCUACCAAGACUGUGAUCAAUAGCUGAUUUGAGAGGAUGAUCAGCCACAUUGGGACUGAGACACGGCCCAAACUCCUACGGGAGGCAGCAGUGGGGAAUCUUGCACAAUGGAGGAAACUCUGAUGCAGCGAUGCCGCGUGAGUGAAGAAGGCCUUUGGGUUGUAAAGCUCUUUCGUCGGGGAAGAAAAUGACUGUACCCGAAUAAGAAGGUCCGGCUAACUUCGUGCCAGCAGCCGCGGUAAUACGAAGGGACCUAGCGUAGUUCGGAAUUACUGGGCUUAAAGAGUUCGUAGGUGGUUGAAAAAGUUAGUGGUGAAAUCCCAGAGCUUAACUCUGGAACUGCCAUUAAAACUUUUCAGCUAGAGUAUGAUAGAGGAAAGCAGAAUUUCUAGUGUAGAGGUGAAAUUCGUAGAUAUUAGAAAGAAUACCAAUUGCGAAGGCAGCUUUCUGGAUCAUUACUGACACUGAGGAACGAAAGCAUGGGUAGCGAAGAGGAUUAGAUACCCUCGUAGUCCAUGCCGUAAACGAUGUGUGUUAGACGUUGGAAAUUUAUUUUCAGUGUCGCAGGGAAACCGAUAAACACACCGCCUGGGGAGUACGACCGCAAGGUUAAAACUCAAAUGAAUUGACGGGGACCCGCACAAGUAGUGGAGCAUGUGGUUUAAUUCGAAGAUACGCGCAGAACCUUACCAACACUUGACAUGUUCGUCGCGACUCUAAGAGAUUAGAGUUUUCGGUUCGGCCGGACGAAACACAGGUGCUGCAUGGCUGUCGUCAGCUCGUGUCGUGAGAUGUUGGGUUAAGUCCCGCAACGAGCGCAACCCUCACUUUUAGUUGCCAUCAUUAAGUUGGGCACUCUGAAAGAACUGCCAGUGAUAAGCUGGAGGAAGGUGGGGAUGACGUCAAGUCCUCAUGGCCCUUACGUGUUGGGCUACACGCGUGCUACAAUGGUAUCUACAACAGGAAGCAAAACUGCGAAGUUAAGCAAAUCCCUAAAAGAUACCUCAGUUCGGAUUGCACUCUGCAACUCGAGUGCAUGAAGCUGGAAUUACUAGUAAUCGUGGAUCAGCGUGCCACGGUGAAUGCGUUCCCGGGUCUUGUACUCACCGCCCGUCAAGG